GACGAACGCUGGCGGCGUGCUUAACACAUGCAAGUCGAACGGAAAGGCCCUGCUUUUGUGGGGUGCUCGAGUGGCGAACGGGUGAGUAACACGUGAGUAACCUGCCCUUGACUUUGGGAUAACUUCAGGAAACUGGGGCUAAUACCGGAUAGGAGCUCCUGCUGCAUGGUGGGGGUUGGAAAGUUUCGGCGGUUGGGGAUGGACUCGCGGCUUAUCAGCUUGUUGGUGGGGUAGUGGCUUACCAAGGCUUUGACGGGUAGCCGGCCUGGGAGGGUGACCGGCCACACUGGGCCUGAGCUGCGGCCCAGACUCCUACGGUAGGCAGCGGUGGAGGAUAUUGCACAAUGGGCUGGAGCCUGGUGCAGCACCGCCGCGUGCGGGAUGACGGCCUUCGGUUUGUAAACCGCUUUCGCCUGUGACGAAGCGUGAGUGACGGUAAUGGGUAAAGAAGCGCCGGCUAACUACGUG
rnacentral:rRNA from 1 species